rnacentral:lncRNA from 1 species
GUCACAACCUAUACACUGCAUUAAAAUGAAGAAAAUUUGCGAGUCUUACAUCACUGAACAUGUAUAUAUUAUAUACAUGGAAUUUAAUAAAAAAUAUAUCAUUACAAUAUAAUAAGACAAUUAAAUAAACUAGAGCUACAGGUACCUUAGAACUAUGUGAGAGCAAUUGCAAAGGAAUACAAUUACAAUUGCUGUGUUGAGUGGUUAUAUUACUACCUCAAAAAAAAAACAAGCAGAAACUCAACAUCUCGAGCGAAGGGUCUUUGCUCAAAACAUUCAGUUUCUGUUUGCUUUUUUUUUCAGGUAGUAAUAUAACCACUCAGCACAGCAAUUUCACAUUGGUACUACCCACGCUGGUACUGGUAUACAGACAGUUUUAAUACAAUUACAAGCCUGCCAGCAUGAAUUGAACCUGCAGCCCUGUAAUUCUACUGCAGCCCUCAGACCUAAAGAGUCCUUUUGCCAAGAUGUAACUUUCUGUAUAAUUAUACCAUGAUGGUGGUGUCACUGGUAGUAUAUUAAAUAAUCUGGGAUGACACUAGUAUUGUAUAAAUGAACUCUUGGUUAGCUUGAUGGAUUCUUGGCGCUUGGACUCUCAGGGCUUGAUGGACUCUCGGCUGUUAAGGAACUGUUCAGAAUCACAGGGCAACAGGUUCCAUUCCCGGCACAGUACUUAUUACAUAGUUAUUGUUCAAAAUUUCCAUCUACAGAAAUUUGGCUUUAACCCAUUGAGUGGCAACACUCUCUCCUUCAUGAGUAAAAUUGUCUGGCAUUAGACAGAACAAAUAAUAAGGUAGAGCCCAUUGCCACAUAAAAGGUUAACAUAAUUCUCUUCAAUGUAGAAUAUUUACAAGUUAGUAUAAUAUACCUGUACUGCAUGUAGUGUUGUCACUGCUCAAUCAAGCAUGUCAUACAAGUUCACUAGUUAAAAUUUAAAAGUACAAGCUUCAUACCACAAGUCAGCAACUCCAUUCCUUGUCAGGUUUGUUAAUCCAUAAACAUACACUCUCCAGCAAAAGAAUAACAUUUUCCAAAUAGACUAUGCAGUACUUAAAAUGCCAUUAAUGAUUAUAUAUAUUGCCACUUGUUUAGACAACUUGCCUUCUGCUGGGAAGCUUUUAUUAAUAACUUUUCAAUCAGGAUCAGGAUAUAUAAUGAAUCCAUAUUAAAUACAAUCUCUAUUAAGAAAAAAAUACAUAUUAAGGUUGAUAUAUAAUGGUAGCAAAUUAUUGAUUGAUUGACAAUGAAUUUCCUAUUUUUGGUUAGUGUACAAAGCAAGAAAUACAAAAUUCAAAUGCUUUCACUUGACAUGUUUAAUGUAAGGCUAGCAUGCAAUUGAAGUAACAUCUGCAUCCAAUACAACUAUUCUCACUGGUAAAAGACUGUUUAAAAUACUGGUGCAUAACAACUGUUUUUUCCAAAAUUCCUAAUUGAAAAAUAUCAUUCUAUAUAAUCCAGCAAGGUAGAUUUAGUGGCUGUUUAUAUGAGGUGAUGGCACCUGUGUACCUGAG